rnacentral:rRNA from 1 species
UGGGGAAUUUUGGACAAUGGGCGCAAGCCUGAUCCAGCCAUGCCGCGUGCGGGAAGAAGGCCUUCGGGUUGUAAACCGCUUUUGUCAGGGAAGAAACGCUCUGGGCUAAUACCCUGGGGUAAUGACGGUACCUGAAGAAUAAGCACCGGCUAACUACGUGCCAGCAGCCGCGGUAAUACGUAGGGUGCAAGCGUUAAUCGGAAUUACUGGGCGUAAAGCGUGCGCAGGCGGUUAUGCAAGACAGAUGUGAAAUCCCCGGGCUCAACCUGGGAACUGCAUUUGUGACUGUAUAGCUAGAGUACGGUAGAGGGGGAUGGAAUUCCGCGUGUAGCAGUGAAAUGCGUAGAUAUGCGGAGGAACACCGAUGGCGAAGGCAAUCCCCUGGACCUGUACUGACGCUCAUGCACGAAAGCGUGGGAGCAAACAGGAUUAGAUACCCGAGUAGUCCCUGAGCGGGCUGGCAAGGCGCAU